rnacentral:rRNA from 1 species
CAGUAGCCGCGGUAAUACAGAGGUCCCGAGCGUUGUUCGGAUUCAUUGGGCGUAAAGGGUGUGUAGGAGGCUGGGUAAGUCAGGUGUGAAAUCUCACAGCUUAACUGUGAAACUGCGCUUGAUACUGCUCAGCUAGAGGAUCGGAGGGGGUAACGGAAUUCAUGGUGUAGCAGUGAAAUGCGUAGAUAUCAUGAGGAACACCGGUGGCGAAGGCGGUUACCUGGAAGAUUCCUGACUCUGAAACACGAAAGCCAGGGGAGCAAACGGGAUUAGAUACCCCCGUAGUCCCUGUCUCUUAUAC